UUUUUUUUUUUUUUUUUCUCCAGUAACUUCUAAAUAUCCAAACACAUUUCAUAGAAUCAUGUAGUGGUUUGGUUGGAAUAGACCUUAAAGAUCACCUAGUUCCAACCCCCCUACUGUGGGCAGGAACACUUUCCACUAGACCUGGUUGCUCAGAGCCCUACCCAGCCUGGCCUUGAACACUUUUGGGGAUGGGGCAUCUACAGCUUUCCUGGGCAGCCUGUGCCAGUGCCUCACCACCCUCACAGGAAAGAAUUUCUUCCUAGUGUCCAAUCUAAACCUACAUUCUUUCAGUUUAAAGCCAUUAUCCCUUGUCCUGUCACUACACACCCUGGUCAAAAGUCUCUCUCCAGCCUUCUUUUAGGUCCCCUUGAGGUACUGGAAGGCAACUCUCAGCCUGUCCACACAGGAGAGGUUCUCCAGCCCUCCAGUCAUGCUUAUGACCCACCUCUGGACUUGCUUCAACAGCAAGACUUGGAUUUGUGGCAGUUCUGUAGCUGCAGAGGAGCAGACUGAGUUGCCCCUGAAGCAGGAAAACUGGGCAGUGUGGAAGUGCUGGGGAGAAGCAAUUUUAGCCAUCUCAGUGAGAGCUUUGCCUUUCCACUUGGCUUGGAGGGCUGUGCUCAGAUUGAGUGGAGACCUCUGGAAUGAAGAUUUAUGGACAGGCUAUCAGGACUUCACAAAUCAGGUGGGAAUACUGCACCAAGAAUUAAAACCUGGAGCUGCUGAAUUUACAACAACCAGCAAGACUCACCUGAACAUUGAAAAAGCAGAGUAAAUACAAUCCAAAUCUCCAGGCCAGAGAUGCCAUCCUGCUGCAUUUAUGGGAUGAUGCAGCCCAUUCCAGCAGAACCUGUCCCCCUCCUGGAGAAUGGACUCACUUUUCUGAAGGCAGAGGAGACCAUGCCCAUCAAACCUGGAUCAACCCCAUCCCCAGCUCCACCUGCUUCACCUCCCCCAAAGCCCAUGUGAUCACCUUUUGCAGUGUCCUUGAGCCUGACUGGAUUCCCACUGGGCUCCUGCAGUGUGCUGGAAGCAUCAAACCUCUAAGGGCUCUCAUCAGGGGAUUAAUUCCUCCUUCUCAUCUUCAUCAGGAGCAUGCACUUGAGCCCUCUGCGUGGGAAACAGACACAUCUUCUCCGUGUGGCAGAAACACCCAGCCAGUGAUCACACCCAGCAGCUAAUGGAUGGACAAGUAUCCCAGACAGUCGUACCUGGGUACAGAAUGCAGAUACAUUAUCCCCAGCUGCAAGCACUAUCAGGAGCCCAAGGAAUUAUUAGAUAUAUUUUAUAACAGAAUAAAGAGAUUGUAAGGGAAGUGGAACCUCAAAGGAAAAAGAUCAGACAUCCUGCAGACAACAAGCAGAGGUGCUCAGGAGGAUGCACAUUAUGCUUA